CCUCAAGUUUACGUGACAAAAGCAUCGUUUUAAGCCGGCCUCUUUUGUUUCUUUGCGGAGUUCUUUGAUAGAAAAACGCAUUUAUGUUACAGCCCGACCGCCAACCGAGCGUAUAUUCAUGGAUUUACCGACAAAUACAAUACAUAGUAUUAUGCAUAGUUUCGUAUAUGCAAUUGUUCACAGGGCUUUCAUCCGAAUGAAUUAUUUCCUGGAUAGGAAGAGUAAUAAGACACACUAAUGUUUAAAGCUUGAUAAGCGUACCUCAAACUAUAUAACACUAGAAGAGGUAAAAAUCUAAGAAUUGAGGACAGGCAUUAGGGCGUUUAAGUUCAAGGGAGAGGUGCUAAAGUCAGAAGGCAGGAUAUUAUUCAAGAGAAAUAUAGAGGAAGUAAGAGAUGGAAGAUUAAAGACAAAAAGUAUUAGGGAGCGAAUAAAGUAGUUAAAUAGGAAUGGCUUUAGAGGGAAACAGAGAGAGGGAAUAAGGAAGGAAGAAUACAUUUAUGCGGAAUUGACGAGGAAAGAUAACCAGGUGCGUGGGCACCUGCAUUAUAAUAGAUUAAAUAAUAGUAGGUUAUAUAUAAUAAUAGUAGGUAAGCGAGGUUAAGAUGCGGUAGUGUAGAAGAUGCGGGCAGAUUCUGGCUAGAAGAAAACAAAGGAAAGUGUAAGUAUGAAAGUAGAUAGACUGAGAGAUGGCCUGAGAAACGUAGUAGACGAAAGAUACUGCAAAGAAACAAUAAAAUGGCUAAGGGAUUUAGAAAAAAAGGAAGAUAAACAAAACCAAAGCUAGGGUUAGGUAAUGAUAAAGUAGAAAUAGAGUAGAAAUAGAGUAGAAUAGGUUAACUAAAUAAGCAAUUAGUUAACCAAGAAGCGAUAGCAAAGCAAAUAUAAUUAUGAAAGGAUGAAUGAAAGAAGUUAUCUCCUGACUUGGUAGCUUUAAAUCUUUAAUUAUGCAAUACACGAAGAUAUACAUGUCUUGUACAGAGUGUGAGAAAAUUACAUAAUGCGACCAUCAUAAUGUGAUUCUACACCCAUAGUCUGGUCGAGAUCACAGAAAAGAUCAAUUCGCGUCCAUUAGUGUAAAGAAGAACCUGUUAUCGCUCUCGUUCGUGCUUUUCCAUUAAUGAAUAUAUGAAGCACAACUUGAGGUGUAGUAGUGUCUCACUGGACAGUGAUGCGAAUAAUUCGUGGAGGAGGCCUACAACCGUAUAGAAUUCAGCGCGCUCAAGCAUUACAAAGGAGGAGAUAGACAUGUACCAUAGACAAAGCGCAGAGAAAAUCAGCCCCAGGUAAUAAUAGGAUAGAUUCCAAAAUUUUACAAAAACAGGUAUAUGCUACGGGAAUAUCUGAAUAAAAAUCCACAAUGAGAUUUGGAAAAAUACAAGAUAUUUAAUGAAUGCAAGAAAGAAUGUAAUAAUUUUCCUAAAGAAACUGAAAAAAAAGUAUUGAGAUCAAUAACCUUGACGGUUUGCAUAGGAAAGAUACUGGAAAAAAUUAUAAACAACAGAUUAGUAGACGGGACAGAAAGGAACAAAGUAAUGGAUGGAGAAACAGAGGCACAAUGGAAAUCUAUAUAUUCAAUUCUUCUACAAGUCCACUGAUAGAAAUAGAGUACAAACAGACAAACUACACCAUGCAGAUCUAAGAGCAGCGAUAGGUUAUAGACUCAUAACUCCAUCAAAUAUAAUGAACAUAGAGGCUGGCAUAAUGGAUAUAGAAAGCAGGGCGGAAUUUAUAAUGGAAAAAUAUAUUACAAAAAAAAAGACUCGGUCCGAGGGUUGAAAUAAUAGAUGAUGAUUGAUCUAAUAAAGAAGCUAAAUUAAAAUUAAGCUUUACAAAAUUUACAAUUUAUCGUAUGAACCACACAAUAGUGUUAAACGUAAUCUGAACCUUUGUAUCCUGAUUACAAAAGUGGUUGUAUCACAGCAUGGCCGCAAAUACGCUACGUACCAGAUAAAUGAGCGAAGGAAACAAUUACACGUCAUUUCUCAUUGAUUGUUGCUUGAUUAGAACUAGUUUCUAAAAAAACUUUAAAGAACUAUGAGAAUUGUACCAAAUAUCAGUCUAUUAACCCGAUGCUAUCUAAUUUAACUAAAUCUACUGACAGAAGAUUAAUUUGGCGUCCGAAAUGCCAUAAUAAUAAUAAUAAUAAUGCCGAAAUAAAUAUAGUCAUGAUAGGUAUCAUUUUGUUCAUAAGAUUCUCAACAAUCCAACUGAAAUUAUCUCGUAACAAAGAAGUAAAAUAUAUAAAAACUGUGUUUUUCGUAUUUCGGCUAUUUAUUAAUAAUUGUCAUCGUUGGUACGAGUCAUAGAUAACACCGGGAAUUGUUUCGCGCAAUCAGUUCUAUGGAAUAGUCGCGAUAGCUAGCAAACCAAAUCGUUUAAAGAAAUUUUGUGUUUACUAAGUGUGUAUGAGUAUGCAAGAUUACGACCUCACACAGACUUGGAUAAAAUUGAACGGUCUCGAUCGAGACGGAAAGAGCCGAGGGGUAGGGUUACUCCAAUUUGUAUGUCAUAGGUAUCGGCUCAAGACCGCUUGACUUUUUCCAAGUCCGUCCAAUACCGAGCGGUUCGGAGGAUUCUCUAUCUCUGUCUUUCUUCGGUUUCACAGUAAAGAAACGAAAUAAAUUUUUGAGAUGACCUAAAAUGUUAUUAUUAAAUAUACAUCUGCAAUGGAGAUUGUACUGGGCUGUAAGUCUCAUUACAAUGAGCAAAUAAUGGUAGUAAUUAUAUAUAUAUUAAACUAAAUUUUUUUAUUACUUGAAAAUAUUUUUGUUUAACUUACAAUAAUAGUUUUUCAUUUUGUAAUAAGAUUCAAUUGUAAAUGUCCCAUAAUGCUAUGUAUCCAUCUUUUGCAGCUGUAGCCAUUAUAAAUUUAUUAUCAUAUGUUUUUAUUCUUUCUAUAGAAUAACUAAUAUCAUGUACAGUAUCCUUAUGUUGAUUUAAAACAGCUAAUGGUUUUAAAGUUUUCCAAGAAUAUAAUCUAAUUCGACUGUCCCAACCUCCUACUGCCAUAAUUUUAGCAUCAGGUCUAAUUGUAAUUAUAGAAGUGCCAGGAUUUGUCAUUGUUAUUUUGUUCUUAUUAUGCAGUAAAUGAUCAACUGAUAAACUAAAUAUCUAAAAAUGUAAAAUUUAUAUUAAUAUAAAAAAAACCAAUCUCAGUUAGCCUUCUAUUUAUAAAAGUGUUCAAUGAAAAUAAAUAUAUUUCCAAUUCAA